GACAGAGGUGCCGAGCGUUAGGCGGAAUCACUGGGCUUAAAGCGUGUGUAGGCGGGCCGUUAAGUACCUUGUGAAAUCCCCCGGCUCAACCGGGGAACUGCUGGGCAUACUGGCGAUCUUGGGCCAACUAGGGGCAACUGGAACAAGCGGUGGAGCGGUGAAAUGCGUAGAUAUCGCUUGGAACGCCAAAGGUGAAAACAGGUUGCUGGGGUUGUGCCGACGCUGAGACACGAAAGCCAGGGGAGCAAACGGG
rnacentral:rRNA from 1 species